rnacentral:tRNA from 1 species
GCUGGUUUAGCUUAGAGGAUAGAGCAUCGCAUUAGUAAUGCGAUGGUCAUCGGUUCGAAUCCGAUAACCGGCU